rnacentral:rRNA from 1 species
AACGAACGCUGGCGGCAUGCCUAACACAUGCAAGUCGAACGAGACCUUCGGGUCUAGUUGCGCACGGGUGCGUAACGCGUGGGAAUCUGCCCUUGGGUUCGGAAUAACAGUUAGAAACGACUGCUAAUACCGGAUGAUGACGUAAGUCCAAAGAUUUAUCGCCCAAGGAUGAGCCCGCGUAGGAUUAGCUAGUUGGUGAGGUAAAGGCUCACCAAGGCGACGAUCCUUAGCUGGUCUGAGAGGAUGAUCAGCCACACUGGGACUGAGACACGGCCCAGAAUCCUACGGGAGGCAGGAGUGGGGAAUAUUGGAAAAUGGGCGAAAGCCUGAUCCAGCAAUGCCGCGUGAGUGAUGAAGGCCUUAGGGUUGUAAAGCUCUUUUACCCGGGAUGAUAAUGACAGUACCGGGAGAAUAAGCUCCGGCUAACUCCGUG